rnacentral:tRNA from 2 species
UAAAAGAUAAGCUAAAUAAGCUAAUGGGUUCAUACCCCGUAAAUGAAAGUUAAAUCUCUCUCUUUUAA